rnacentral:rRNA from 1 species
AUAAAAUAGUUAAUGUUUUAAAAAUUAUAAUAUUAUGUAAAAUUAAAAUUGUUUGUUUUUAUAGUAUUAGAAGUAUAGAUUUAUUGUUCAUUAUAGUACUGCAAAGGAAAUGAUAACAUAAAUUUUUUUAUAGUAGAUAAAUUAUUCGUACCUUUUGUAUAAUGGAUUGAUGAUAUAUUUGGUUUUAAUAUAAAUUAAUCUCGAAUUGAAAAGAUUUACUUAAUGUAUUAUUAUGUUAACGUUGUAUAGUUAUAUAUUUAAUAUUAAGUGGUAAUGAUAUAUUUAUCGAUUUUCAUAAUAGCUAGUUUAUUGGUUUAGGAUAUUUAAGUAUCAUAAUAUUAAAAUAAUUUUUAUUUAUUUAAUAUUAUUUAUAAUAUGAGGGAUAAGCUUCAUAUUAUUUAUAGAAUUAAAUUAUAUUAUAAUUAAUAAUUAAAGUAGAGUUAAUAACGCUUUUCUUUACAAGUAGUUUAAAUUAUAUAGAUUUUUAUAAUUCAAGAUAUUAUAUAAUCAUAAAUGUUUAUAAAUUAAUUAUUAAACAAAUAUAAUGUUAAUAUGAGUAUUUAUAUAAAUUAUAAAUUUAAUUAUUUUAAUUGAAGAUGAUUAGAUGUUAUGUAUAAAAUAAAAUAAAAUAAAGGAAUUCGGCAAAUAUUAAUCUCGCCUGUUUAUCAAAAACAUGUCUCUUUGUAAUUUAUAAAUAAAGAGUCGGGCCUGCUCGGUGAUAAUAAUUUUUAACAGCUGCGGUAUUUUAACUGUACUAAGGUAGCAUAAUAGUUUGCCUUAUAAUUUGAGGCUAGAAUGAAUGGUUUGACGAAGGUUAAUCUGUCUCUAUUUUAUUUAAUAGAAAUUAAUUUUUAAAGUGAGAAAGCUUAAAUUUUUUAAAGGGACGAGAAGACCCUAUUGAGCUUAUAAUUUUAUUAUUAUUAUUAUAUGUAAUAAUAAAUGAAUUUUAAUUGGGGUGAUUAAGGAAUAAAUUAGUAUUAGUUAGUAACUUCCUUAAAUAGAUAAAUAGAUGUAUAAAUUAACCAAUAAUUAUAUUGCUUUUAUUAAAGUUACCAUAGGGAUAACAGCGUAAUUUACUUAAAGAGUUCUUAUUGAAAAGUGAGAUUGCGACCUCGAUGUUGGAUUAAAGUAACCUUAAGGUGUAGAAGCUUUAAAAGGUAAAUCUGUUCGAUUUUUAAAACUUUACAUGAUCUGAGUUCAGACCGGUGUAAGCCAGGUUGGUUUCUAUCUUUUAAAAAUAUAAAUAUAGUUUCUUUUAGUACGAAAGGACCAAAGUUAACUAAAUUAUUAAUUAUAAUAUUAAUGUAUAAAUAAAUCUAAUAAGGUUAGAAUAUUAAAUAAAAUAAAAAUUUACAUUAAAAUAA